UCAUAUGUACAUGCCUAUAACGUUAAUGCACUAGAUCCCAUUAUAAUUCUGUAGUUAAGUGCGCUUGGGAUGGAGUAGUACUUGGAUUGGUGACCUCCUAGGAAGUCCUAGUGUUUUACAUGCC
rnacentral:rRNA from 1 species